rnacentral:tRNA from 1 species
GGCGGAUUAGUGUAACGGUUUAGCACACUAGAGUUUGAUUCUAGGAAUAUUGGUUCAAAUCCAGUAUCCGCUG